UACGAAGGGGGGCUAGCGUUGUUCGGAUUUACUGGGCGUAAAGCGCACGUAGGCGGAUUUUUAAGUCAGGGGUGAAAUCCCGGGGCUCAACCCCGGAACUGCCUUUGAUACUGGAAGUCUUGAGUAUGGUAGAGGUGAGUGGAAUUCCGAGUGUAGAGGUGAAAUUCGUAGAUAUUCGGAGGAACACCAGUGGCGAAGGCGGCUCACUGGCUCGGUACUGACGCUGAGGUGCGAAAGCGUGGGGAGCAAACAGG
rnacentral:rRNA from 1 species